rnacentral:rRNA from 1 species
GACGAACGCUGGCGGCGUGGAUUAGGCAUGCAAGUCGAACGGUAUCAUCCUUUCGGGGGUGAGAGAGUGGCGAACUGGUGAGUAACACGUAGGUUAUCUACCCUCAAGACGGGGACAACCCAGGGAAACUUGGGCUAAUACCGGAUGUGAGCAACUUUUAGUUGUUUGAAAGGUGGCGUAAGCUGUCGCUUGGGGAUGAGCCUGCGUCCUAUUAGUUAGUUGGUGAGGUAACGGCUCACCUAGGCAAUGAUAGGUAGGCGGCCUUAACGGGUGGUCGCCCACACUGGGAUUGAGAUACGGCCCAGGCUCCUACGGGAGGCAGCAGUCGAGAAUAGUCUACAAUGGUCGGAAGACUGAUAGUGCGACGCCGCGUGAACGAUGAAUCCCUUCGGGGUGUAAAGUUCUUUUAUAUGUGAGCAGUGCUUCUUAUAUUAACAGUAUGGGGAGAGAGAUAUUAGCAUAUGAAUAAGCAACGGCUAACUACGUGCCAGCAGCCGCGGU